GAUGAACGCUGGCGGCGUGCCUAAUACAUGCAAGUCGAGCGAACAGACGAGGAGCUUGCUCCUCUGACGUUAGCGGCGGACGGGUGAGUAACACGUGGAUAACCUACCUAUAAGACUGGGAUAACUUCGGGAAACCGGAGCUAAUACCGGAUAAUAUAUUGAACCGCAUGGUUCAAUAGUGAAAGACGGUUUUGCUGUCACUUAUAGAUGGAUCCGCGCCGCAUUAGCUAGUUGGUAAGGUAACGGCUUACCAAGGCAACGAUGCGUAGCCGACCUGAGAGGGUGAUCGGCCACACUGGAACUGAGACACGGUCCAGACUCCUCCGGGAGGCAGCAGUAGGGAAUCUUCCGCAAUGGGCGAAAGCCUGCCGGAGCAACGCCGCGUGAGUGAUGAAGGUCUUCGGAUCGUAAAACUCUGUUAUUAGGGAAGAACAAAUGUGUAAGUAACUAUGCACGUCUUGACGGUACCGAAUCAGAAAGCCACGGCUAACUACGU
rnacentral:rRNA from 1 species